CCCACACCACACACUCUCCCUCCGCCGCCGCCCCCUGACUUGCCGGUCGAUUUGCUCGUGCCACCGCCUUUCCCACCAGCGAUUGAGCCUCUCUCAACCUCCUUCUAGAAUGUGGUGCUCCCCCCACGUUCCAAUCCGAAGGUGCCUCCUAAAGAUAGGACAAGAAAAGAGGGAGGCAGAUCCACCGCGACCAAGAGCAGGUCAGGCGGCGGCCAUGGCAUGCCCAGAUCCGCCAGCGCCAUCGUCGUCGAGCACCUCUGCUCCGAGCGUCGGAUCCACCUCGGGCUCCAUCUACACAACCACGCACUAGCAGCCGCUGCCAUGGAAGGUUCUCUAUGUGCUUGCUUCUUCCCUUCCCAAGACGAUGUUGCUCCGACCCCAUGGAUAAUGUGCAGGACAGAGCCGCCAUAUGGUGUGCACGGUGAUUCUUUUUCCACUCUAAUGCCUUCCACGCUACGUGUCCGAUGGACCUGAUUUUACUUCCACUCCGACAUAGCUAAUGGAUAUAAUGGCAGAAGGUAUCAAAUCGAAGAUGUUAUGGCUUUUCUUCAUGGCAUGCAUGGUCGACCUACUUUCAUCAUAUGGAAGUUGUUGGUGGUUCGAUGAACAAAGACUUGGUGUGUUCCGUAGUGUUUUAUAUAGUGACCAGACAUGAGUCUCUUAUGAACUUAGCCCGUAUUUUGUAACAUGUCACAACUUGUAUGUCGACCUAUGUAUUUCCUUAGUGGUUGUAGCUAACUUGAGUGAAGAAAAUUAAUGAAUCUUCUAUAUGUUCAAUAUAUAUGUAUUUAUCAAUGGUAUCUUGUGAUGAAU